GUUUUUUUCACUUCCUCCCACAAAAUGGAGGACAGUACUACUCUACGCAACUGAGAAACCUCUCUGCUGCAGGACAAUAAAUUACACACAACAAUUAUUUUUAGGCUCAACUCACCGCUACCACCCCUGCGCUGACUCGGGAGGGUGAAGACAAACACACGCUGUCCUCCGAAACGUGUGCCUGCAGCCGACCGCUUU